UACGAAGGGGGCGAGCGUUGUUCGGAAUCACUGGGCGUAAAGGGCGCGUAGGCGGCCCCUUUUGUCGCGUGUGAAAGCCCCGGGCUCAACCUGGGAACGGCGCGCGAAACGGGGGGGCUUGAGUUCGGGAGAGGAGAGUGGAAUUCCCAGUGUAGAGGUGAAAUUCGUAGAUAUUGGGAAGAACACCCGUGGCGAAGGCGGCCCACUGGGCCGGUGCUGACGCUGAGGAGCGAAAGCGUGGGGAGCGAACAGG
rnacentral:rRNA from 1 species